rnacentral:rRNA from 1 species
UACCAGCACCCCCGAGUGGUCGGGACGAUUAUUGGGCCUAAAGCAUCCGUAGCCGGUCCUGCAAGUCUUCCGUAAAUCCACCUGCUCAACAGUUGGGCUGCGGGGGAUACUACAGGGCUAGGAGGCGGGAGAGGCAAGCGGGUACUCGAGUGGGUAGGGGUAAAUCCGCUGAUCCAUUGAAGACCACCAGUGGCGAAGGCGGCUGCCAGGAACGCGCUCGACGGGUGAGGGAUGAAAGCUGGGAGCAACCGGG